rnacentral:rRNA from 1 species
GGGCCCGCACAAGCGGUGGAGCAUGUGGUUUAAUUCGAAGCAACGCGAAGAACCUUACCAGGUCUUGACAUCCUUUGACCGCUCUGGAGACAGAGUUUUCCCUUCGGGACAAAGUGACAGGUGGUGCAUGGUUGUCGUCAGCUCGUGUCGUGAGAUGUUGGGUUAAGUCCCGCAACGAGCGCAACCCUUAUUGUUAGUUGCCAUCAUUCAGUUGGGCACUCUAGCGAGACUGCCGGUGACAAACCGGAGGAAGGUGGGG